rnacentral:rRNA from 1 species
GAUGAACGCUGGCGGCGUGCCUAAUACAUGCAAGUCGAGCGAACGGACGAGAGGCUUGCUUUUCUGAUGUUAGCGGCGGACGGGUGAGUAACACGUGGAUAACCUACCUAUAAGACUGGGAUAACUUCGGGAAACCGGAGCUAAUACCGGAUAAUAUUUUGAACCGCAUGGUUCAAAAGUGAAAAACGGUCUUGCUGUCACUUAUAGAUGGAUCCACGCUGCAUUAGCUAGUUGGUAAGGUAACGGCUUACCAAGGCAACGAUGCAUAGCCGACCUGAGAGGGUGAUCGGCCACACUGGAACUGAGACACGGUCCAGACUCCUACGGGAGGCAGCAGUAGGGAAUCUUCCGCAAUGGGCGAAAGCCUGACGGAGCAACGCCGCGUGAGUGAUGAAGGUCUUCGGAUCGUAAAACUCUGUUAUUAGGGAAGAACAUAUGUGUAAGUAACUGUGCACAUCUUGACGGUACCUAAUCAGAAAGCCACGGCUAACUACGUG